CUCGUGUGAAAGUACUUGUCUUGGACCCGGAGGACCUCUCCUGAACAUUUUUUUCUGCAGGAUUGGCAAAAGGUUUUGCCUAAAACAAUUUGAAACUAGGAGAAAAGAAGGAUUUUUCAAGGGACUUUACAUUUAGCGUCGUUAAACGCAACACCGCACGACAUAAAUACCAUUUUCGGUGCCGUAGCAGACUCGUCAAUUAUUAGAUGUUUUUUAUGUGGAACGUUGUUGUAUACUCACCAGACGGAAAAUUGUAAGAUGUUUUAAAAGUGAAUUUGGCCUUGGUCAACAAAAAUAAUUUGAUUUUUAUUGUUUUCUUUUGAAUCACCUUGUAUAGCCAGCCACAUUAGUGUAAUCAUGUCCUCAAUUUUAAAUACUUUUUUGCUAUCCAUAUUUUAUCAAUAUGUUUUAUUGCUUUGAACUUUAUCUUAAUGAGGCUGACUAAUGUACAUAUUUAUACUUUGUUAACGCAUUUAUAAAAAGGCACAUCUUUUCAAUCAAUGAAAACUUCCUUUAUGUUAUUAUAUCAGGUUUGUAUCUUAAUAGAUACAAGCACUCAUGCAAAGUAGUGCAAUAAAAUUUGAAUAUUCAGUUGAAAAGUGAUAUUCAUAAAGAAAAAACUUAUAAUGAACACAUACUUCUAAAAUGUGUUUUUUUUUUAUAAAAACAAGAAUUUACACAUACUAGACAAAUAUCCAAUGAAAACUUAGUUUUUCCCUUCGAUAAUAAGGAUAGUAAUAAAAAAAUGUUGUGUCAGUCCCAAAGACCACAAAGGUGUUGUAAAAAUAUUAAAAAUUAUAAAAGAUUUUUAAAGUUGAAGAAGUAGUCCAUUCUUGCAGUGGAGUUAAUAGGUAACUAAAGAUACUUCGGUCAUCAUCCACUAAAUUUAUUUAAAAACAUUAAUUCCGACAUAUUUCAUGUCCGUCAUCAGGUAUAACAAAUUAAGGGGUUCCGUCAAUACAUCUUAUAGAUCUAGUGCCCCAGACAAGGUUAAAAUAAAUUAAGAUACAUGAGAAUGGGACCAAACAGGACAAUAAGACAACAGCUAUUAAAUUGUCAGACAUGUUAUAUGUCCGAAACAUGUCAGAUUAAUAUUUUUAAAUAAAUUUAGUGGAGAAUGA